CGGCGAACGGGUGAGUAACACGUGGGUAAUCUGCCCUCGGCACCGGGAUAGCCCGGGGAAACUCGGAUUAAUACCGGAUUGCCUCCGGAGCCUUCGGGCACCGGAGAAAAGGAGGCUUCGGCUUCCGGCUGAGGAUGAGCCCGCGGCGGAUUAGCUUGUUGGUGGGGUAACGGCCCACCAAGGCGACGAUCCGUAGCUGGUCUGAGAGGACGAUCAGCCACACUGGGACUGAGACACGGCCCAG
rnacentral:rRNA from 1 species